rnacentral:misc_RNA from 1 species
AACGCACAUUGCGCCCCCUGGUAUUCCGGGGGGCAUGCCUGUCCGAGCGUCAUUGCUGCCCUCAAGCACGGCUUGUGUGUUGGGCCUCCGUCCUCCGCCCGGGGGACGGGCCCGAAAGGCAGCGGCGGCACCGCGUCCGGUCCUCGAGCGUAUGGGGCUUCGUCACCCGCUCUUGUAGGCCCGGCCGGCGCUUGCCGACACAUCAAUCUUUUUUCCAGGUUGACCUCGGAUCAGGUAGGGAUACCCGCUGAACUUAA